rnacentral:rRNA from 1 species
GACGAACGCUGGCGGCGUGCUUAACACAUGCAAGUCGAACGGAAAGGCCCUGCUUUUGUGGGGUGCUCGAGUGGCGAAAGGGUGAGUAACACGUGAGUAACCUGCCCUUGACUUUGGGAUAACUUCAGGAAACUGGGGCUAAUACCGGAUAGGAGCUCCUGCUGCAUGGUGGGGGUUGGAAAGUUUCGGCGGUUGGGGAUGGACUCGCGGCUUAUCAGCUUGUUGGUGGGGUAGUGGCUUACCAAGGCUUUGACGGGUAGCCGGCCUGAGAGGGUGACCGGCCACAUUGGGACUGAGAUACGGGCCAGACUCCUACGGGAGGCAGCAGUGGGGAAUAUUGCACAAUGGGCGGAAGCCUGAUGCAGCAACGCCGCGUGCGGGAUGACGGCCUUCGGGUUGUAAACCGCUUUCGCCUGUGACGAAGCGUGAGUGACGGUAAUGGGUAAAGAAGCACCGGCUAACUACGUG